UCCCCGGUAGCUCAGCGGCAGAGCGGGUGGCUGUUAACCACUAGGUCGUAAGUUCGAAUCUUACUCGGGGAG
rnacentral:tRNA from 1 species